rnacentral:rRNA from 1 species
AGAGUUUGAUCCUGGCUCAGGAUGAACGCUGGCGGCGUGUCUAAGGCAUGCAAGUCGAAUGGGUUUAGACCCAUGGCAAACGGGAGAGUAACACAUUGGUAACCUGCUUCCAACCGGAGCAUAACUCAUCGAAAGGUGGGAUAAUUCUCCAUUAAUUGUACAGUCGCAUGGCUGUACAAUAAAGAUUUAUCGGUUGGAAAGGGGCCUAUGGUCUAUCAGCUAGUUGGCAGUGUAAAAGACUACCAAGGCUAUGACGGAUAGCGGGUGUGAGAGCACGACCCGCCUCACUGGGACUGAGACACUGCCCAGACACCUACGGGUGGCUGCAGUCAAGAAUAUUCCUCAAUGGACGAAAGUCUGAAGGAGCGACGCCGCGUGACUGAUGAAGUCUUUCGGGAUGUAAAGGUCUUUUCUCAGGGAAGAACUAUGACGGUACCUGAGGAAUAAGAGGUUGCUAACUCUGUGCCAGCAGCAGCGGUAAUACAGAGACCUCAAGCGUUAUCCGGAUUGAUUGGGUGUAAAGCGUGCGCAGGCGGUAAGUUAAGUCCGCGGUCAAAUCUAGCAGCUCAACUGCGAGACCGCCGCGGAAACUGGCUCACUAGAGCAUGGAAGAGGUUAGCGGAAUUGCCGGUGUAACGGUAAAAUGUGUUAAUAUCGGCAAGAACACCAGAGGCGAAGGCGGCUAACUGGGACAUAGCUGACGCUGUGGCACGAAAGCGUGGGGAGCGAAUGGGAUUAGAUACCCCAGUAGUCCACGCCCUAAACGAUGGAUAUUAGUCAUUGGCAGUAUCGACCCUGUCAGUGGCGUUUAAAAUAGCUAACGCAUUAAAUAUCCCACCUGGGAAGUACGGCCGCAAGGCUAAAACUCAAAGGAAUUGACGGGGGCCCGCACAAGUGGUGGAGCAUGUGGUUUAAUUCGACGGUAACCGGAAAACCUCACCAGGGCUUGAAAUGUAGCUGCAAAUCCGGGGAAACUCGGACUUCUUCGAGAGUGCUACACAGGUGCUGCAUGGUUGUCGUCAGCUCGUGUCGUGAGAUGUCGGGUUAAGUCCUUUAACGAGCGCAACCCUCAUCUUGUGUUAAAAAUUCACAAGAGACUGCCCAGCUCAACUGGGAGGAAGGUGGGGAUGACGUCAAAUCAGCAUGGCCCUUACGCCCUGGGCCACACACGUGCUACAAUGGCCGGCACAGAGGGUUGCUAAGCGGUAACGCGGAGCUAAUCCCCAAAACCGGUCUCAGUUCGGAUUGAGGUCUGAAAUUCGACCUCAUGAAGCUGGAAUCACUAGUAACCGUGAAUCAGCAUGUCACGGUGAAUACGUUCUCGGGCCUUGUACACACCGCCCGUCACACCAAGGGAGUUGGUAAUACCCGAAGGCUGCGCUAGACGCGGACGAAGGUAGGAUCAGCGACAGGGGUGAAGUCGUAACAAGGCAUCCGUAGCGGAAGCUGUGGAUG